GGGUCUGUAGCCUAGUUGGUAAAAGAAGCACUCUGGUAUAUGACUCAGCAUUGCUGAGGCUGUGAGUUCAAAUCUCACCAGGCACA
rnacentral:tRNA from 1 species